rnacentral:rRNA from 1 species
UACGUAGGGUGCGAGCGUUGUCCGGAAUUACUGGGCGUAAAGAGCUCGUAGGCGGUGUGUCGCGUCGGCCGUGAAAACCUGCAGCUUAACUGUGGGCGUGCGGUCGAUACGGGCAUCACUGGAGUUCGGCAGGGGAGAAUGGAAUUCCCGGUGUAGCGGUGGAAUGCGCAGAUAUCAGGAGGAACACCGAUGGCGAAGGCAGAUCUCUGGGCCGUAACUGACGCUGAGGAGCGAAAGCAUGGGGAGCGAACAGG